rnacentral:rRNA from 1 species
GCCAGAGGAGGCAAGCGUUAUCCGGAAUUAUUGGGCGCAAAGCGUCCGUAGGUGGUUUGACAAGUCUGGGGUUAAAGCCCGGAGCCCAACUCCGGAUCGGCCCUGGAAACUGUCAGACUUGAGUAAGGUAGGGGUUGCGGGAAUUCCCGGUGUAGCGGUGAAAUGCGUAGAUAUCGGGAAGAACACCAGCGGCGAAAGCGCGCAACUGGGCCAUUACUGACACUGAGGGACGAAAGCUAGGGGAGAGAAUGGG